ensembl:lncRNA
GCUGCAGAGCGCUCAGUGCAUGCGGCUCCCAGACAUGCAGCGGGGAGCCCGGCCGCUGCCGCAGCCAGUUCCGGGCAGUUCGGGGCCAGGUCUUCAUCCAACUCCUCUACCUGCACCGCCACACCCACUUCAUUAAUUUGGGGGGCGGCGGGCACCGAACAGGGACAUUUGCCCAGUGGCAUCUCUGGCUGCGCCUGCCUCUCCCGAGCCUAAAGCCUUCCCACCUCCUCCUCCACACGCACCUCCGCGCCCCCCGCCCACACCGCGAAGAAGGGGCGAGAAAGAAAUACGCAUUAAGAUCACAAGCCUUCCCGCACCAUCGCUCGCCCCCUCAACCACCUGUCUCUGCGCUCUCCUCCCCCACGGCCUUCCUCAACUCCGGGGCGCCCCCCCUCUGCAGCAGAGGGGGGCACCACGCCCACUGCGGAGCCCAGAAGCGGAAGGUCUUCACAGCUGUGUGGAGGCUUCAGUAGUAGCGGCUCUCGGCCCCAGAGCUCGGGCUCAGCAGUCACGGUGCUGGGCUUAGUCACCCUGGGGCAUGUGGAAUCUUCCCUGACCAGGGAUCACACCUGUGUCCCCGGCAUUGGCAGUAAUUAUCGAUGGCGAGAACUCUCACUUCUCUAUGGUGUCAGAGGGCUUUGAGAAGAGCUGGCCUCCAGCAGCCUGGCUCUCCAGCUUCAUCGCUAGUGAUUUCCUCUCCUCUCUCAUACUUUUCACAUGAACAUCCAGCUCCAGACAAGAUGAAGCAGAUCCACUUUCUCCCUCUUCCUCUGGUUAAGUGCUUCCUAACAUCCCGAACAUCACAGAUACAACAAACAUCUGAAAAGCAAAGCAAAGGCUAGGGACCCCAGGACUCAAGGAGUGACAUGGCACCGAGGUGGUAUCAACAGAGCCCGAGAUGGGUUGCUGAACUUCUGCUCUGGUCCAGCAAUAACGAGAAGCCUGCCACCCCUCAAGUGUCGACGGCUGCAUGGAGACCCUGGACUUUUACCCCCACCUGGCGGUAACCAGGAGGUCACCCUCCACCCCGCCCCACCCUGCCUGGCAGAGCAGUAGGAAAGGGGCCCUGCGGAAACAGAUCAGUCUCAGAACACAAUACCUGAAGUGUCCAAGAUGCAAUUUAAAAUCACUCAUGAUGCCAAGAACCAGGAAAAUUUCAACUUGAAUGAGAAGAGAUAAUUAGCAGAUGCCAACACGGAGAUGACAGAGAUGUUGGAAUUAUCUGACAAGGAUUUAAAAACAACCAUCAUCAACAUGCUUCACUGAGCAAUGGUAACAUUGCUCAAUAACUUAAAGGAACGAAUAGCAAGUCUCAGCGCAGAAAUAAAAGGUGGAAAGAAGGCUCAUAUCCUUUACUUGGGCCUUAAAAGCGCCACUCGUGUUUCCGGGAUGACCACCCUCACCUCGUGCCUGGGCCAAGGCGUCUGCCUCUUCUUAGAACACCCAUCUCUCCUUUUUAAAUCCUGCUUGUCCCGGGGGUCAGCUGAGAUGUCACCUCCUCUGCGAAGCCUUCUUUGACUUCCAUGCCCCUUCCUCCUGAAAGCUCCCCACGCCAUAGCACUCACACUCAACUCCAAUUAUUCUGUCCUCUCUCCCUCCACACCUACCCAGUGUAAAAACUUGCCAGAGAGACUGUGUCUUAUCCCAGGUGCCUGGUAUAGCACCUGGCUUAAGCACUCAGAAAACUGUUGAAUAAAUGAAUAAAUCUGUGAAUAAAUGGAAACUCUGCC